UCAUGCAUAAGGGAGUGGGACAGAAAUGAUAUUUUCGCAAAAUUUAUUUCGUCGUCCCACCCCAACUUGCAUUGCCUGUAGAAUUUCUUUUCGAAAUUCUCUAUGUUGGGGCCCCACCCCAACUUGCACAUUAUAGUAAGCUGACUUUUCGUCAGCUUCUGUGUUGGGGCCCCAUUGUUAUAAGCUCAUUUUAACUCUGUCGAUGGCUGCCAAUAUAACAUUGUAAAGCCCAGGACGUUAAUUUAU
rfam:Staphylococcus aureus subsp. aureus NCTC 8325, complete genome.